GCAUAUCAAUAAGCGGAGGAAAAGAAACCAACAGGGAUUGCCCCAGUUAACGGCGAAGUGAAGCGGCAACAGCUUCAAAUUUGAAAUCUGGUCCCCUUUGGGGGCCCGAGUUGUAAUUUGAAGAGGAUGCUUUUGGCGAGGCGCCGUCCGAGUUCCCUGGAACGGGACGCCGCAGAGGGUGAGAGCCCCGUACGGUCGGACGCCGAGCCUCUGUAAAGCUCCUUCGACGAGUCGAGUAGUUUGGGAAUGCUGCUCAAAAUGGGAGGUAAACCCCUUCUAAAGCUAAAUACCGGCCAGAGACCGAUAGCGCACAAGUAGAGUGAUCGAAAGAUGAAAAGCACUUUGAAAAGAGAGUUAAAAAGCACGUGAAAUUGUUAAAAGGGAAGCGCUUGCGACCAGACUUGCGCCCGUCGGAUCAACCGUCGCUUGCGGCGGCGCACUCCGGCGGGCUCAGGCCAGCAUCAGUUCGCCUGGGGGGAGAAAGGCGGCGGGAAUGUGGCUCUUCGGAGUGUUAUAGCCCGCCGUGUAAUACCCUCGGGUGGACUGAGGACCGCGCGUAUGCAAGGAUGCUGGCGUAAUGGUCGUCAGCGACCCGUCUUGAAACACGGACCAAGGAGUCGUCCUAAUAUGCGAGUGUACGGGUGUCAAACCCCUGCGCGUAAUGAAAGUGAACGGAGGUGAGAGCUUCGGCGCAUCAUCGACCGAUCCUGAUGUUAUCGGAUGGAUUUGAGUAAGAGCAUAUUGGGCCGGACCCGAAAGAAGGUGAACUAUGCCUGUGUAGGGUAAAGCCAGAGGAAACUCUGGUGGAGGCUCGCAGCGGUUCUGACGUGCAAAUCGAUCGUCAAACAUGGGCAUGGGGGGCGAAAGACUAAUCGAACCUUCUAGUAGCUGGGUUUCCGCCGA
rnacentral:rRNA from 1 species